rnacentral:lncRNA from 1 species
AUUAUGGAUUACUAUGACAAUCAAAAGUUGAUAUGUGUACCACAUUGAACCAUCAGGCUGAUCUUGGCCAUUGAUAGUAGUACAAAUAUUGUCCCCCUUCCUGAUUCUUUUUUACUUCCACAUGCUUCCUGCCCAAUAAUUUGUCUGCUGCCACCAAAGGGGUUUGCAUCGCUAUUUGCUGCUCCUCGGAUUUUUGGCAACUAUUUUUAAGCCCCCGUUCAACUAUCUGAUAGGCUUCUUCUCCCUUUUCCUCUUCUUUUCUUGUGCUUUUCUAGCUUUUUCUGUAGCUUUGCUUUUUACGAUUUUUCCUUUCGGACCUCUUGUUUUGUUCUUUUUCCCACUUCCAUUCUCAUUUUCCUUGCAUUAUUCUUCUAUUUUUUGUCUUUCUUUGAUCCUUAUGGCCCUUGACAAUAGAGAGACUCGAGGCAAAAGCCAUCAAGCUAAUGGGGGUUCUCAGUCAGCCCCUCCUCACAUUGGAUUCAAGGUGGAACCUCAGACUGCUACUGCUUCAAACCCUCUAGCUCGGCCUGAAUCUUCUAGCUCAAAGCAUAGACCAAGCACUGAGAGGUCCACUUUUACUAAGUCUAACCUGAGAAGGGUCCGAGCUUA